UGGGGAAUAUUGCACAAUGGGGGAAACCCUGAUGCAGCGACGCCGCGUGAGCGAAGAAGGUUUUCGAAUUGUAAAGCUCUGUCCUAUGAGAAGAUAAUGACGGUAUCAUAGAAGAAAGCCCCGGCUAAUUACGUGCCAGCAGCCGCGGUAAUACGUAAGGGGCGAGCGUUGUCCGGAAUUAUUGGGCGUAAAGAGUGCGUAGGCGGCAAAUUAAGUCAGAUGUGAAAACUAAGGGCUCAACCCAUAGAUUGCAUCUGAAAAUGAUAUGCUUGAGUCAAGGAGAGGAAAGUGGAAUUCCUAGUGUAGCGGUGGAAUGCGUAGAUAUUAGGAGGAAUACCGGUGGCGAAGGCGACUUUCUGGACUUGAACUGACGCUGAGGCACGAAAGCGUGGGGAGCAAACAGG
rnacentral:rRNA from 1 species